GAUGGGAGCUUGCUCCCUGAUGUUAGCGGCGGACGGGUGAGUAACACGUGGGUAACCUGCCUGUAAGACUGGGAUAACUCCGGGAAACCGGGGCUAAUACCGGAUGGUUGUUUGAACCGCAUGGUUCAGACAUAAAAGGUGGCUUCGGCUACCACUUACAGAUGGACCCGCGGCGCAUUAGCUAGUUGGUGAGGUAACGGCUCACCAAGGCAACGAUGCGUAGCCGACCUGAGAGGGUGAUCGGCCACACUGGGACUGAGACACGGCCCAGACUCCUACGGGAGGCAGCAGUAGGGAAUCUUCCGCAAUGGACGAAAGUCUGACGGAGCAACGCCGCGUGAGUGAUGAAGGUUUUCGGAUCGUAAAGCUCUGUUGUUAGGGAAGAACAAGUGCCGUUCAAAUAGGGCGGCACCUUGACGGUACCUAACCAGAAAGCCACGGCUAACUACGUGCCAGCAGCCGCGGUAAUACGUAGGUGGCAAGCGUUGUCCGGAAUUAUUGGGCGUAAAGGGCUCGCAGGCGGUUUCUUAAGUCUGAUGUGAAAGCCCCCGGCUCAACCGGGGAGGGUCAUUGGAAACUGGGGAACUUGAGUGCAGAAGAGGAGAGUGGAAUUCCACGUGUAGCGGUGAAAUGCGUAGAGAUGUGGAGGAACACCAGUGGCGAAGGCGACUCUCUGGUCUGUAACUGACGCUGAGGAGCGAAAGCGUGGGGAGCGAACAGGAUUAGAUACCCUGGUAGUCCACGCCGUAAACGAUGAGUGCUAAGUGUUAGGGGGUUUCCGCCCCUUAGUGCUGCAGCUAACGCAUUAAGCACUCCGCCUGGGGAGUACGGUCGCAAGACUGAAACUCAAAGGAAUUGACGGGGGCCCGCACAAG
rnacentral:rRNA from 1 species